GAUGAACGCUGGCGGCGUGCCUAAUACAUGCAAGUCGAGCGAACGGACGAGAAGCUUGCUUCUCUGAUGUUAGCGGCGGACGGGUGAGUAACACGUGGAUAACCUACCUAUAAGACUGGGAUAACUUCGGGAAACCGGGGCUAAUACCGGAUAAUAUUUUGAACCGCAUGGUUCAAAAGUGAAAGACGGUCUUGCUGUCACUUAUAGAUGGAUCCGCGCUUCAUUAGCUAGUUGGUAAGGUAACGGCUUACCAAGGCAACGAUGCAUAGCCGACCUGAGAGGGUGAUCGGCUACACUGGAACUGAGACACGGUCCAGACUCCGACGGGAGGCAGCAGUAGAGAAUCUUCCGCGAUGGGCGAAAGCCUGACGGUGGAAAGCCGCGUGAGUGAUGAAGGUCUUCGGAUCGUAAAACUAUGUUAUUAGGGAAGAUCAUAUGUGUAAGUAACUGUGAACAUCUUGACGGUACCUAAUCAGAAAGCCACGGCUAACUACGUG
rnacentral:rRNA from 1 species